CCUACGGGAGGCAGCAGUGAGGAAUAUUGCGCAAUGGGCGAAAGCCUGACGCAGCGACGCCGCGUGGGCGACGAAGGCCUUCGGGUUGUAAAGCCCUUUUGGCAGGGACGAGUGAGGACGGUACCUGCCGAAUAAGUCUCGGCUAACUACGUGCCAGCAGCCGCGGUAAAACGUAGGAGGCGAGCGUUAUCCGGAUUUACUGGGCGUAAAGCGCGCGUAGGCGGUCGGUCAAGUCAGAUGUUAAAGCCCUUGGCUCAACUAGGGGAGGUCAUUUGAUACUGUCCGGCUGGAGGGUGAGAGAGGAGAGUGGAAUUCCCGGUGUAGCGGUGGAAUGCGUAGAGAUCGGGAGGAACACCAGUGGCGAAGGCGGCGCCCUGGGCCGAUACUGACGCUGAGGUGCGAAAGCGUGGGGAGCAAACAGGAUUAGAUACCCCAGUAGU
rnacentral:rRNA from 1 species